GCGCUCAUCACUGUAUAAUUUUAAUCAAAAUAUGUGUUGUCAAGUCUGAGAUGUCAGACGGCUCAUCUAUGGCUAUUAACAGUAUCAUCACAUUUUUUGGUAUUAUCUCGAAAUGCCACCAAAACAAGAGAAGAAGUUUACUAGAACAAAACCAUAUGGCUGAGCAUUUGAGAUAUCAACAACUUAAAAAUGACCCUAAA
rnacentral:lncRNA from 1 species